GACGAACGCUGGCGGCGUGCUUAACACAUGCAAGUCGAGCGGAAAGGCCCUUUCGGGGGUACUCGAGCGGCGCACGGGUGAGUAACACGUGAGUAAUCUGCCCUUCACUUGGGGAUAACCUCCGGAAACGGUGGCUAAUACCCGAUACGACCAUUCCUCGCAUGAGGUGGUGGUGGAAAGUUUUUCGGUGGGGGAUGUGCUCGCGGCCUAUCAGCUUGUUGGUGGGGUAAUGGCCUACCAAGGCUUCGACGGGUAGCCGGCCUGAGAGGGUGACCGGCCACACUGGGACUGAGGCACGGCCCAGACUCGUACGGGAGGCAGCAGUGGGGAAUAUUGGACAAUGGGCGGAAGCCUGAUCCAGCAACGCCGCGUGAGGGAUGACGGCCUUCGGGUUGUAAACCUCUUUCACCUGUGACGAAGCGAAAGUGACGGUAGCAGGAGAAGAAGCACCGGCCAACUACGUG
rnacentral:rRNA from 1 species